rnacentral:misc_RNA from 1 species
UGCUCAGCCAGUAAGGUCAC